UGUUGCUAGUGUCACUUAUGAAUUUGUAACAACUUGCACGGUCGGUAAUUAAUAAACCGGCACUAUGCCAGAUCGCGACAAGUCACCGGAGGGAUCCCUUGUCGAGUACAACGGCUGCCCCACUCUUCAAACAGAAACGCAUUUCUGCUUCAUGACAGAAAUAGGCAGAAUAGUCGUACUCAUCCGUGCGGACUCACAAGACGUCCUACCACAAGUCAGUACAACGGCCAUGGUGAAACCCGCUGUACCAGUGCGUACCUCUGUCGCCGAUGAACUCGCUGAAGUCGACGCUGCCGUCGCGGUUGGCGUCCUUCUCCCGCAGAGCCUGCUGCACCAGGAACUCGUGCAUCUCGGAGUGCUCCUCCGGAUUCGUGAACACCUGCACGAUAAGGCGAUACCAAAGUUUGAUAACUGUUACGCCGAUAUUUGAAAUCAAUUCAAACAAAUAUAAUUGCGUAAGUAGAUAUGGAUGGAUUGCGUGAAAGACGAUAUGGGUAAGAGGGGAGUGAGCGAAGAAAUGAUAUAUGAUAGAGAAGUAUGGACGGAGAAAACACGUUUCACCCACCCCAGAUGACUGGGAGAAGUGCAGGAGAAUGACGAUAAUUACGUAAGUAGAGCUAGAUAUAUAGUUACGUAUAUAAAUAUUGGAAUAUAAAUAUAAAAAUUGGAAUGAUAGAUACAUAUGCAAUCCUAUAUAAUUGUGCAAUAUAUUAGUCUCUAAAAUCAAGAUUGAUAUUUCUUUUUAUAGUUUAGUUAGCGUUCGAUCAGCUUACGUACAGUAUUAUGAUAAUCUUAAAACUUAUAUCAGAUUUAAUUAAGAUUGUACAUACUACAUACACACAUACAUACUACAUAAUGUAUUGGUGCAUAUUUAUUAUUUGUUUAUAAUUGAACUUAACAUUGGUGCAACAUCGUGUAACCAAUGCUACAGGGCGUUGUGCACUAAGUGUGUGUGUGUGUGUGUGCUCGCUAGUGUCAGUGACCGCGAUACGUACAGGGUGCUCUGACGUGUGUGAUUCAAUUAUAUAUUUUUUUAAAUAUUAAUUGUAUAUUACUGGAGUCUAUUUAACAUUGUUUCUAAUUUCCGAAGAAAAUCUUUUAGAUCAGCUUGGUAUAUGUCGGGAUGUUAUUUAGAGUAAGAUUAAUGUUUUCCGAUUAGUUUCGUUAUAAUGAAACGCUUCUCUUAAAAUUUUCGAUUCAUUCAGUGAGUGUACCACAAUUAAAAGCUAGGACUGUAAAACAAAAGUACGUGCCAAUAUUAAAUCAUAAUGUAAUAAUUACCUCAAAUUCAUCAAGAUUCAAUUUCCCGUCGCCGUUCUUAUCGGCGACCGACCACAUCGCUUUCUCUUCUUGUAACAGCUGUUGGAAAAAUAUUUUGUCUUCACAACAGUGACUUAAGUCAGAUUAGACGAAUUACUAAUAAUUACUGAAGUUUGUUACCGGUUUAAAGGGCAGAAAAGCCGUUAUGUGGUUCAAUUGAAAUUCGACUCUAUGUUUCAAGGUGCAUAGCGGUAUUCACAUUCUCAUCUAAAUAUACUAUAGGCUUUGAAUAACCACGUACCAGCUUCGUCUGUUUAAAGGGCGGAAAAGCCGUUAUGUGGUCCAAUUGAAUUUCGACUCUUAUGUUUCAAGGUGCAUAGCGGUAUUCACAUUCUCAUGUAAAUAUACUAUAGGCUUUGAAUAACCACGUACCAGUUUCGUCUGUUUAAAGGGUGGAAAAGCCGUUAUGUGGUUCAAUUGAAAUUCGACUCUAUGUUUCAAGGUGCAUAGCGGUAUUCACAUUCUCAUCUAAAUAUACUAUAGGCUUUGAAUAACCACGUACUAGUUUCGCCGAUUUAAAGGGCGGAAAAGCCGUUAUGUGGUCCAAUUGAAUUUCGACUCUAUGUUUCAAGUUGCAUAGCGGUAUUCGCAUUCUCAUGUAAAUAUACUAUAGGCUCUGAGUAACCACAUACCAGUUUCGCAGUGAGUUCAUUUGCGUUUGUUAUCUACAGCGAUAAAAAUUUAUGUUAAAAUGAACGUUUGUCUUGUUUGUUAGUACGUGAUUUAUGCGCUAGCACCUCUUUCUUUCAAUAAAAAAAAAAUACAGUUUUAUAUCGCAUUAAAUAAAUUAAAAUCUGGGUGAAAGACGCAACUAAAAAAUCAAAAGUGAACAAAAAAAAGAAAUCCUUUAAGACCGGUUCAUUUACCGAACCGUAUUCCACUAUGAAUAAAUUCGGCAUACCGGUUUGAUUGCUACCUAUAUACAUAUGUAACACUUAUUCUUCGCAUAAAUAAAAAAAAUAAAACAACAAAUUCAAUUUGCGUGAUUGACGUUGACCACGUAUACCGUUGUGACGUAAAUAAAACGUCAGAAACUGUUAAUAAAAAUGUAAGAUCGACACCAAAAUUCUCCAAUUAUUACCAAGAACAAGACCUGGCUGUAUGGACUAAAGUCCUUUGCCUUUCCCAUUAGGGAUAAAUUAAUACCAUCAUGUAAGAUCGACAAUUAAGGCAUCCAAGCAACGUCGUCACCCGGUAGAAGUGUAAGUAAUGUCCGCACCCGUACCAUGCCAGAGUCUCCCGUGUCUUCUGGUCCGACCUCCUCCUCGGUGUCCACUCCGAACGCGUCUUGCAGGUACUCGGACCAAGUCACAGACCCGUCGCGGUUCUCGUCCGCUUCUGACAUACGUUCUUCUGCCUCUUCUCUGGAUAGCUUCCUGUUGUUAACAGCGGUAUAAAUAUAUAGCAAUCAUUAUAUAACAUGUGUACUUCAGGUUCUCUAUUAAUAACCCACUACCUAUUACCCCUCACUCUCCACCAUCCAGUGGCUGAACAAAACCUGUGUCCGUAAGCAUAGUAGUAUAGGACACUGGGUUAUUUGGAUCUCAAUUCACACCCGAUCCUGUAGACCGAAUGGUAAAUAAUCGAUGUGGCCCAAAACACGUCAUUACGUAUCCUCCCGAUCCAUUAACGGUGCUUCUAGAUACCACAAGCACCGGUCACCGUCCUCGUCGAACCCGUCGUUUGCGACGAAGGGCUCGACGAGUGAAUUAACCCGUGGACACAGCCCACUGAGUUUCUCGCCGGAUCUUCACAGUGGGUCGCGUUUCCGAUCCGGUGGUAGAUUCUGCGAAGCACUGCUCUUGCUAGGGCCAGUGUUAGCAACACUCCGGUUUGAGCCCUGUGAGCUCACUUAUUUGUUAGGGCGAAGCUGAAAUAGCCUCUCAAGGCAUAGGUAGGGAAUAAAAAAAUUGGAUCUCGUGGCUAGGCAAACAUCAAGCUGGAGAAAAGGACAUCUCAGUGAUUGGUACCUAUAGUACAACCUGGAGGUGACUGCUAUGCGCUACAAAACAGUUUUUCUACUGAUGAGAGAUUACGAUGGGUGCAGAAAAGGAAGAACACAACUUUCAUAUUUAUUUUGUGCAAAUCUUUGCCGAUUCUAACAGAAUAGCUAUGGAUAGCAUCCAUUUUUGCAUAGUGUUCAAGGGAGUAAGAAUUCAAUAGCAUUUAAUGACUAUAAUACAGUUACCACCCUGUCCGCAAAGCUAAAGUAAUGUAAAUAAUGGAAUUUUAUCAUAUAGUGAAAUUUAUUAAAAUAUUCCAAAGCACUUAAUGAAAUUAAUAUUGUGUUUAGUGAAUAGUGGUUAGAAAAAUAAAUAUAUAUAUAUAUAUAUAUAUAUAUUUAUCUUAUUUUUAUCUAUCACACCUCCUUCAUAACGAAGUCAUUUUUAAAAAUUUAAAGAAAAAAUUGUCUUCAUGUAUUAAAAAUAUCAUGUCAAACUUUGAGGGGCACACUAAAUUCCCUAAAUGUAUAAAACUAAUGUAUUCUGUAUAUGCCAUUAGAAUUCACUAAAAAAAAAUCUAGGUUUUAUCUGGACUAAAAAUACUUAAUAAAAAAAUUAAUGUUCAAAUCAAAUCAUAUUCCUUUGUUUUGAAAACGAUACUCGUAGGAUAUACCUGUGUUCAGUUCUUUUCGAUUGUAAAUAAUAUAUAUUUGCUGAAAACGAAAACGCGGGUGUUGCAUCUUAUCAUAAAUUAACUAAUGAAAUAAACAAACAAAUCUAUUAUUUUUGUUAUCAGUUAACUGUAAAUGUACCACAUGUGAGUAGUUAAUGUAAGAUUCCAUGCUGUGGGUGUUAGGUAAUGUUACAAUAAACAAUUCUAUCUUCUGUAUUGUUUACUAUUGUAAGAAGAAUGUUUGAAAUUUUUGUAUCUCAAUUUUUUUGUAUUCAGUCCAACACUUAUGCAUUGAGAUCCAAGUAUCGAGGUAGAGUAAGACGAAAUAGCAAGUCUCUCUUAACUCAAGUGCAUGCCAGUCUUCACACUUUAGGUCUCAAGUAAACUGAUUAAGAUGGCCAAUGCCUGAGAUAACAGGUUAAACUAUUGAAGGAACUGGCAUGGUGAUUGUGAGAUAACUCCCAUCGGCAUGAGACAAUUUCUGCAGAACUAAUAUUGUAGGUCCAAGUAAUGGAUCAAAGGAAUAAUUUUUUUUAUUUCAAAACUAUCAUAUAUUGUAUUGUAUUGACAUUAGGACAUAUGAAUUUUGAGUGUUAUGAAUUUACUUAGAUUUAACCUAAUUUAUUAUUUUAUUAUUUCAUUUAAUUACUACAAGAAUAAUGAAUAAAGAAUAAUCUUACUGAAAUUCAUAACUAAAACAUUCUGUGGCAAUGAAAUACAAAUGUAACACAGGAAAAGUGGUGGAAUAGAAAGACUAAGACACAUGAUAGCAAUAGUGAUUCUUAACUGUACACAGUUACUAUUUAAUACAUUUAGGCUUAAAUAAUAUAUGUAUUUUGUAAUUUAUGUAUGUUGCAAUGGAUAUAAUAACUUUUUAAAGCAUUCAAAUACAUGGGUUCUGGUUUUGGGAGGGUGUCAGGGUUGAGGCUGCAUCUUUUGACAUUUCAUCGCAUGUUAAAAAAAUAUUAUCAUUGUUGGAUUUAGGAAAUAGUCUUUUUUGAUUUUAUUAAGAUGGCAGUUACUGCCCUGCAAUAAGCCAAAAGAAAAGUUUCUUUUUGCGCAGAAUGUUCUGUGAGUAUAUGUAAUAAAUGAGAUCAGCAGGAUUGUUUAAAUCAGAUCUUGUUUGAGACACAAAGAAAAGCAUACUACAUCUAUACACCCAUAGUUACUAUUGAAAUUUAUAUACACUGUUUUCAAAUUUUUUUUGGAAAUCAUUGAUUUUAAUAUUAGAUUUAUAAUUUUCUUUAAAUCAUAUAAAUUAUUAUUAAUUAUUUUAUUAAAUAUAAAUCAUUAGUUAUUCUCACUUACACAAAAGAGUUUAGAAUCCAUUUCUUAAGUUCAAUUCGGUCAAUGUUCUGAUCGUUGUUGAGAUCCAUCUUGGGUAGCAUUAGAGCCAGGCGCCGCUUUGCCUCCUCAGGGCUCAGACGAUCAAACUCCUCGCUCUCCUUCACGCUGCCUAUGGAGUAAAAAUACGUGACCACCAGGAUGCACGGCACAGUGACCAGCAGCGCGUGUUUAACGGACAUGACACGCGGCUUCCUUUGCGAUUCUUAUCGUACACUAACAUUGCAACAGCCCGCCGAGAGCCGCUACGUCACAAUCACCAAGAAAGGUAAUAAAACGCACCUAAAAUGGCUUCGUGAUCAAAUUCCGUGUUGUGCCCAGAGUCUCCAUAGUGCUCGUGGUCCCUGGACCGGUAGCUGCCGUCAGAUUCGCGCUCCAAGUUAUCAACACUAUGUCCGUGUGCGGCGGCCGACGAGAAAUACAAAUUAUUAAACAGAAGAAUAAUUAAAACACAUCUGUAGGCCAUCUUAUCAAACAUAUGCAAGAACUGGUUCGAUUUUAAUCUCAGCUUAAUACUUUUGUUAUGCAAAUUUCAUUAUAUAUCCUUGUUUAUUUUUAUAGGUUCAAUGAAACUGCUAAGAAUACCGAAUGACAGGACUAAUUGUUGAUUGACAGAUGGGCGGAUGUUUAGUUUAGUUUGUUCUCUUUGUUGUUUUAAUUUAACUGAGAGGCAGAGUAAACUAGUCUAGAAGUGCCAAGUAGAAGUUUACAGUAGUUCCAAAAUCCUAGGAAAGACAAAUUAAUUUAUUACAAUUUUAGUUAAGAAAAUUAUAGUUGUGAAAAUCUUUAAUUGAUUUUAUAGUACAUGGAGCCUAGUUUGCUGCUUGUUUGUAACAGAUAGUCCAAACUCAAUAACGUAUCAGCAAUAUAAAUCACAAUACAGUAGAGGUAUUCAUUGUACAUGCAAACUUUUUUAAAUAAUAAUUUUAUAUGUUCUAGUUGAGUAUUAACUACAAUGGAAGCUAUACUUUUCUAGACAAAUAAGUACAUAUCUUGUGCAAAUAAUGGAUCGAAGAUUUAUUGAUUCCAUUUGGAAAACAACACAUGUUAUUUUAGUGUGCAUUACUAAUUCGAAGAAAAAUAAGUAGAAAUGACGUAGUCUGUAGUAAUAAACAACAUUUAUUUCAACAAAUUAUCUGCAGCCAUAACGAUCAACGCCACUCUGCGGCUUGCAACAUGGUUUGGAAAUGAAGAAAGGAACUUCGUGAGAUGUCUGCGAACUUCUCCUACGACCAGGGGGAGGUAUGCUCGGGUGUCAGGUGUUGGCGGGAAAACAACGACGCGGAUGUUACGGUUACGGAAACUGAAGAAAGACACGUGGCAUACCAUGAACUGGUAUAAUAAUACAUUUGGAGACUUCGUGGCGUAAGGGAGCGGGAUUUGCCUAUUCGUUGUUUCCAGUCACAAGAAUCACGCAUGCCUAUUAAUAGAGCUGUUAGUAGUAGGCGUCUUUUUCAUCUGUAGUUAGACCAUUGUUAUUGUGAGUAGGUAUAUAUUUUAUCAAGUGUUGUUAUUUAAAUAAGCAAAAACAAAAGAGUUAAGUACAAUUUUCUUCUCUGUUUAUCAAUAGAUUUAGUUUUACUGUUAUCAUUCAAUUAUUUUCCUAAAUACUUUUUUUAAUGUCAAUAACAAAUUAAAACACAAAUGUAUUUUAAAUAAAAUAUUUAAAUUGAAUCUAAAGAAUUGUGGUAUGGCGGUGUUUACGGUCGAAUCCGGGUUAUUAGGUUAAUCUAGUUAAUCUCAAAACAGACAUUCAAUAAAAGCUUCCUCGAUGACUUUGGUGAUGUGCCGCACAAGACGCCGAUGCGAGCGUUCCAACACAGGCAGGUAUAAAGUUGAACAGUCACUUGAGACGCAACUCCCGAUCACUUCCUUCACUGAUUCGGCCGUGGCUCGUACCAUCUGUUCUUUUAACUCCUGCCACAGAUAAAUUAUAUAAUUAGGACGGGUUGCUUUGUUCAAGGUUCCUGCGUCCCUCUUUUUUUUUAUGAAUUUUUCAAUCUACUACGCGCGCUUCCUGAUUUCGAAAUUUUCACAUGCGAUAAAUUUUCAAAUUCCUAAGUAAUAUGGAAAGCCUACAUGAUAAACUAGAUCGUCUUCUUUCUUAACGCAAUAAAAAUGCAAAAUAAGCUAAAUAUAUAAUAUACCACCACACUACACUAUAACAUGUAUGGUCGUAAUAAAAUGUUAAUUUAAUAGUUUUGGAACAGUUUUGUCGUGCUGUAGCCCUGAAUACUAAGAACGGUUGGCGACCGAAAAUAAAAUAGAAUUGAAAGUAGCUUCAGCACAGUGAUAGCAUAGAUGAUAUAGAUUAUAAUGAAGAUAUUGGUAUUACACCUCUUAAUAAUAUUUAAAACUAAGUAUACGAUAGCUAAAAAAUUAUAUAUAGCGAAACUAUUUAUAAUAUUUCACUUCUAUUGACUGCAAUCAACAUAGAAAUACAAUAAAAAUGAAAAUCGACCUUAUCUCUUAGAACGGGUGGUGGUUGAUGUGGCAGUAACCAUUUACGCCAGAUGAUUCUAUCUUAUACAGGGCGCUAUAAAAAAAUACGCAUAAAAGCUUGAGGCCUACCUGCUGCUAAGUGGUUGUCGGAUACAAUCGAGACUACAUGGUCAUGUCAGGAAAAAAUAGGACAAGACUUUAUUACUUCAUCACCAUCUUCUUCUUCUUUUUCUCCACCUUAUCCCACUAGGUGGGGUCGGCACAGCAAUUUUUAUUUUUCCAUUCUCUUCUAUCAACCGUCAUAUCAACACUCACUCCUCUCUCUCUCUCUCUCUCAUGUCGUCAUUCACACACUACAUCCAUGUCUUCUUCGGUCGACCUUUCCCCCCUCUACCUUGCACUACCAUUUCCAUACAUCUCCUAGUCAGAUGCAUCUUCUCCUACGCAUCACAUACCGCGCUAACCGUCCGCGCUUACUUCAUCACCGUUUUAACAAUGAUAAUUGAUAAAUCAAAGACUAUAUAGCAAGAAAGAGCAACUUGCGGCCCGCCAAGCAUUUCUAAGAUUGAAUUUAUUUUAUCGACAUUCUCCCAUCAAUUCGUUUUUCUGCUCUUUUCUUGUUCGUUUUUAAUAAAGAAAAAAGGAUUCGUAAAUUAUUAAUAAAAGUUAAUAUAUUAUGUGCGGCCCGCCAAAAAACAUUAAAUUUAAAUUGGCCUAUUGAUUAAAAAGGUUGCUCACUCCUGCUAUAGAGUAUUCUAACUAACCUCGCUCUGCAAGAAGUUGACUAGAGCAUUGCUGAUUUCCCGGUCCAUGGAGAUCCCGCGCUUAGAUUCAAUAGCAUCCAGUAAAGUUUUGGCGCGAACGUUGAUUGAUUGGUCUUUCAUGCUGGAAGCAUCUGCUUUGUCUAGAUCUUUAAUUCUGUACAAAUUAUGUUAUUUGUUUUAAUGUGUUUCAAACAUACCUAUACCUCAAUUAAGUCGUUGAAAUUCUACAUAAUUAGAACUUGAUCUUCCCUUGACAGCUUAGGUAAGUAAAUGACGUGAAGGAAUCCUCGCUAGUAUCAUUAAAGUGUACAUAAUAGGUACCUACUUUUACUUAUAUAUACUUAGAUAAUACUUAUUUAACAAUUGUCACGACAUAGGGACACUUGGAUUCUCUAAAUUUCACUACUUUCCAUUUGAUAAAAGGAAGCGCGCACCACCUGCCUUGAAUAUACAAUGUCAAAAA